AGUGAACGCUGGCGGUAGGCCUAACACAUGCAAGUCGAACGGCAGCACAGGAGAGCUUGCUCUCUGGGUGGCGAGUGGCGGACGGGUGAGGAAUACAUCGGAAUCUACUUUUUCGUGGGGGAUAACGUAGGGAAACUUACGCUAAUACCGCAUACGACCUACGGGUGAAAGCAGGGGACCUUCGGGCCUUGCGCGAUUGAAUGAGCCGAUGUCGGAUUAGCUAGUUGGGGGGGUAAAGGCCCACCAAGGAGACGAUCAGUAGCUGGUCUGAGAGGAUGAUCACCCACACUGGAACGGAGACCCGGUCCAAACUCCUAGGGGAGGAAGCAGUGGGAAAUGUUGGAAAAUGGGCGCAAGCCGGAUCCAGCCAUACCGCGUGGGUGAAGAAGGCCUUGGGUUUGUAAAGCCCUUUUGUGGGGAAAGAAAUCCAGCUGGCUAAUACCCGGUUGGGAUGACGGUACCCAAAGAAUAAGCACCGGCUAACUUCGUGCCAGCCGCCGCCGUAA
rnacentral:rRNA from 1 species